CCUGACGGCAAGGGACGCUGGGAAAUACCAGUCCGGCUGUGUGCCCUGGAGGAAGAGGAAGCGUUUGGGGUGUGGGGUGGUGAGCAGCCAGACGGUCUCCGUCACACACGGACCCCGUGAGAUUGCGUGUGCGACGCCGUUAAACGUCCCCCUGUAGACAGAGCUGGGGGGAAGGCUGCCCUUUGGAACUUUGUUCCCAUGUCCCGUGUCCCACGCGGCAACCUCACUUCAGUGCUCGCUGCACAGAAUCGGAGGACUGGCUAUAGACGUGGUCCCCGGCCUCUGGGGCUUUCUGUGUCCCUGGAGUCAGCCGACGCAGGAAGAGAGGCCUGAGCGAGGCAUGGUUUCAGAAGUCCACACUGGCACCCGUGGGGCAGGAAGAUGCCUCGGAGCUUCAGCGAAAGGCGGACAGCUGAGGGCAGCUCCCCGUUCUCAACAGGGCGCCCUGCCCUGUCUCCGGGGCUCACCCGGAGCAGCCAGGCCUCGGCGCCACACCACCGUCAGCCGGUCCCGCCCCUCCAAGCGGGGCCGGGCCCUGCGAGCUGCAGCUUACGUGCAGGUGUGAGUAAACUGAGGCUCAGCGAGGUGAACUGACAUCCCGAGAGGGAACGGGAACCCUUGGCCGACUCCAGCCGCCCUGGGCCCCGCGCUGCUCGCAGCAUCGUCCCCAGCCCCGUGCCACCCGGGACCUGGCCACCAAGGUGUGGCCACCAUCGGUGACGUGAGUACAUGAAGCAGCAGAAGUGGGUCUUCCUGGAGUUCUGUGAGCUGCUUCUGGAUGACAAGGAGCCCUGGAGCCACAACUAAGGAGCCUGCCUGCCACAACUGAGGAGCCCACAUGCUGCAACUAAAGAGCCAAUGAGCUGCAACUAAGGAGCCCGCCUGCCACAGCUGAGACCCGGUGCAACAAAGCAAAUAAAUAAAAAAACUUAAAAAUUGGCUGUAUUCCCUGAGUUUUACAAUAUAUCCUUGGAGCGUAUUUAUUAACGAUGGUUUGUACCUCUUAAUCCCCCACCCCAUCUUGCCCCUCCCCUUCCCUCUCCCCACUGGUAACCACUGGUUUGUUCUAUAGCUGUGAGUCUGCAUCUCUUUUUAAAAAGUAUAUUUUUAAGGAAGGUACCAUGAAUGAAGGAAGGAUGCUGUGUAAUAAAGAAUCUAACCACGCUCAAAUGAAGGUCUGGGCUUUAUCAUCGGCUGACCAUCUGAUUUAGGGUGGGGACUGGCCACACCAGAAAGACCAACAUGAUUUAGGGUGGGGCUCUGGGUCACGCAGUAUCAGCUGACCUGGAAACUGAGAUCAACCUUGUGGGCGGUCAAUCAAUCAAUCAUUUAUGCCCAUGUCACAGAAGCCCAAUAAAGACUGCAAACACCAAGGCUCAGGUGAGCAUCCCUGGUUGGCAAUACCUGGCGCAGUGUCUCGUGUCAACACCAGUUACGCACCACGUUCCAGCUCCUUGGGGAGAGGACGAUGGAAGCUCCGUGUUCGGAGCCCCAGAUCCUGUCCUGAGAGCCGCUUCACUUGGCUGACUUUUAAUAAACCAUAACUCUGAGCACAACAGCUUUCAGUGAGUUCCGUGAGGCCUGCUAGCUAGUAAUCCAACCUGAGGGGGGCUUGGGGAACCCCCAGACUUGCAACUGGUGUCAGAAGUGACGGUGGUCUCGUGUGGACUGUUCCCUCUCAACUUUGUAGCUGACCAACUCUGCAGGUGGCCCAAACUCUUCUCAGGUGCUUCAGCUGAAGGGUCACACACAAGUUGCUAACCUGACCCUGGAAACUGGCUUUGGGGACAAAAGGGAGCAAGAGUGAGUGUUUAGAUUCUAUACUUUAUGCUCUGCUCCAGUGUUCGAACUUCUUCUUUUUUUUUUUUUAACAAAACAAGCAUGUGUUACCUCUGUAAUUAAAACAUUACUUUUAAGAAACAUACCCCCAAAAAGCUACUUUAAGAAAACUAUCUUGUAGAGUUGCUCAGCACGGAUUGGAGCAGGGAAAUUCUGGAAUCAUCAGGAAAACUACUUCUCAAUUCAUCCCAAGCAUUAACUUCACAUGUGAACUUACUGCUCAUUCCAUUUCCUCACAUUAACAAAGAUUAUGUGAUUUAUGUCACCAAAGGGUCCAAGCCUUGCAGGUAAGUUUCAGAAAGAAUGUAAAAGCAUGUCCAGACUUUUGACUGGCUCAAGACCGUUCUUACACAAAGUUCCUUUCAGUACUUUCUCUCUGUCGCUGACAGGGUCAUUCUACUCAUGCUAAUAUUUGUCCUUUCUAGAAGAGGACUUCUGCUUUCAUAGUGCAUUGAUGAGCAAGGCUGAAAAUUCCCAAUUCACUCCUUGUAAUCGAGGCAGGCUCUGCGUCAUUGGUAAAAAAAAGUAAUAAAAAAUAACAAAAGAAAACUUCUGUAUACAUCUCUACCCACUUUGCUUUGACGUGAGACGUGUGCAUAAAGAGUUCCAGUUGUUGGGCUUCCCUGGUGGCGCAGUGGUUGAGAGUCCGCCUGCCGAUGCAGGGGACGCGGGUUCGUGACCCGGUCUGUGAAGAUCCCACAUGCCGCGGAGCGGCUGGGCCCGUGAGCCAUGGCCGCUGAGCCUGCGCAUCCGGAGCCUGUGCUCCGCAACGGGAGAGGCCACAACAGUGAGAGGCCCGCGUACCGCAAAAAAAAAGAAAAAGAAAAAGAGUUCCAGUUGUUGAUUUAUGAAUUAUUUAGGAAAUUACUAUCAAAUAGUCUCAUGCUCCUCCACCUCACAACUGAAAAGCCCACCUACCAGCCUCACUCCUGAAAGCACACAACCCAAAUAAUGUCAGUCACCCGACGCUUCUAUUUACCAGAAUCUUCAAGAGGUGCAAUUUAAGACGUCUGUUCCAUUCCGUUUUUCAAAUAUCCCAAGAGCCUUUCUCUUUAAUCAAGUACUCUGGGGCUUCCCUGGUGGUCCAAUGGCUAAGGCUCCGCGCCCCCAGUGCAAGGGGCUUGGGUUUGAUCCCUGGUCAGGGAACUAGAUCCCACAUGCCGCAACUAAGAGUUCGCAUGCCGCAACUAAGUUUGCAUGCUGCAACGAAGAUCCCGCAUGCCGUAACUAAGACCCAGCACAGCCAAAAUAAAUAAAUGUUAAAAAAAAAAAGUAUUCUGACUUCCUAAGAAGCAAAUUUACGGCGCGGGCUUUCUCUAGUUGCAGCGAGCGGGGGCUACACUUCGUUGUGGGGCGCGGACUUCUCACUGCAGUGACUUCUCUUGUUGCGGAGCAUGGGCUCUAGGCGUGUGGGCUUCAGUAGCUGUGGCUCGCAGGCUCAGUAGUUGUGGCCCACUGGCUUAGUUGCCCCGUGGCAUGUGGGAUCUUCCCAGACCAGGGCUCGAACCCGUGUCCCCUGCAUUGGCAGGCGGAUUCUUAACCACUGAGCAACCAGAGAAGUCCCCAAGGUGACUUUCUAAAAAGGCGACUUCAGAUAAGUAAAGCUUGUUAAGACAGAAUCAAAAAGAUUAAAUCUGACUUUUAAAAAGGUGACUUUAAGCAAAUAAAAUUUGUGAAAGUAUCAACAGAUUAAAUUCAUCAUCUUUAAGGUGAAGAGUCUAAGAAGAAAUAUACAUUGGCCCAGAUUUCUAGACCAUUUGAGACAGCAGUAGUGAAACAGAUAAAUCUAUGUACAUUAAGUACAAACACUAAGCAGACUGCAAACAUUGAACACUGUAGCAUUGCUUGGACAGCCCUUUACACCACCUGGUCAGUAAAAGAAGCUACAAAGCAGCUACACCAACAGUUCUUAACCACCCCCCCCAAAAAAACUGGUUACCCAUAAGCCAAUAAAGUGUGUCCAUCCAACAGCGAAAAGAGACUUAGUUUCAGCAGCAAUGACGCCUCAGGAGAGAUGAGCCUUGGCGACAGCAAGAAAAGAUGCAAACAUUGCCCUGAAGGCUGACCUGACUGUCCCAGGUGCCCUGGCAGGCAAUCCCCCAAAGAUCAUUGGCAGGGGAAGGGAAGAUAAGGAAGAAGGUGGGCAAAGGAAAAUUAAAACUUACAAGGGAGGGAAGAACUGGAGCAUUCAUUCGAGAAGCCAUGGGUGACGUGAGAGGAAGCCCACUGUAACGCAUGCCUAUAAACUACUCCUUACAGCUUACACAGGAUUUACUGCCACUCUUCUAACUCCAACGACAACCCCGUUAUUAGUUAUUAAAGGAGAAAACCGCGGCUCGGAGCCCUGAGUGUCGCACCCAAGGUCAGGCAGAAAGCUGGGGCUGCAAUUCGGGCCCUACCCCGAAAGGUGCACUAAAGAGUGACAAGGAGACACCUGGAAGAGAAGUCAAGCGCUGGCAGAGAGGUGCCCCGAGGAACUCGGGAAGGUCGCAGGUGCGGGGUGGGGUGGAGGAAAGGGAGCAGGGGCCUCGGGGCUGGCGGACGGGGGCCUGGAGUGGCCGGGAGACCCGGGCGCGAGCAGCCCGCCCCGGCCCACCGCACUCACCCGAGGCCCGGGCGGGGUCGCCCGGCGCUGCGGCUCCUCCCGGCCUGCGGCGGCGGCGGCGGCGACUGCAGCGGCCGAGGCAGGGACGCAUCAUGCGGCCGCACUCAUGGCCGGGCCGGAGGGGGCCCCGCGGCUCAGCUCGGUCCUGCCGGGCCGGUCGGAGGGAGGCGGCCUCCGAGCGGACACGAGAGACAGAGCCCAACCUGGAGAGCUUGGCGGCACGACCCCCGGAAGUGAACCUCGCGUGGUCAGCGGCGCCGCGUUUGCGCAGUUCCGGUCGCGCCGCUCCCGGCAGCGGAGAAGGGUGUUUGAGGUGGUUUGCUGGGACUCGGCGGCCGGGAUCCCUUUGGGACAGAGGACCUUAAAGACUGACAUUUCCCAGAGAAAGGCGACUCUUAGUCGCAAGGUCCCCUCGCUAAAAUAAAGGGACCCAUUCAAACUGAGGUCCGGAAGAGAAAGGAUGAGGGCUACGUGCUACCGCAAGGUCCAAGCCGCGCGGCUAGGCUUUUUGACUCGGGGAGGAGUUCUUGCCCGGGUUUACUGAGCCCGUGGUGGCCCUCCUGAGCCAGCGUUAGGUGUGACCUGUACGGCGUGCGAGGACGGAACACGGGUUAAUGGAGAAGCGCGAGUGGGAACGACGGAGCCAGAAAGCACGUGGGGAGUAGGGGAAGCGCCAUUGGAUGCGCGAUUCCUGAUUCGCUGAGCCUCUGGUUCCCCUCUGAGCGACCUGGAAACCAUGGCAUCCCAGCGAUUCCUUCCAGAUGCUAAGUCCUAAGGUUUUUGAAGGGGCUGCUGAGUUGAGAGAACAUAAGCCUGUUGCUGCUGAAGACCACUCUAUAAAAAGAACCUGAUCUGAGAAUGAAGCCCAGCUCAGAGGGAAGCAGUCAAGAAGGGGAGAGAGACCAAGUUCUGAUGACAUUACUUGGCCCCUGGAUCCUGCUGGGCCAACCCCAGAACUUUUCAGUUUUUGAAAAACCAGUUUGCCGGGAUUUCUGUCACUUAUUACUGAAAGAAUUUUGGUAAAUAUACCUUCCAGGUGCAAAUACACUACUUCUAUCAUAUUUCCUUGAAUUACGAGUCUAUAGAUUUCAUAGCUUGAAAUCUCAUGCUUAAGCCAGCAUGACUUGGUCUUUGACAUCAGUGCUUCCUCUUCUGAGGGGUCACAGAUGUUUUUCAUGAGUUAUCUGGCCUGAAUGCUUCCCAGGUCCAAUGUCAAGUUCACUGGUCUGUGGUUUGUAGAACUCACUACCCCCCCUUUUUUUUUAAAUAAAAUGGCCAUAUCAUC